GGGGUCAAGCUCUUUGGGGUCCGAUUGACCGACGGGUCGAUCAGGAAAAGUGCUAGCAUGGGCAAUUUAAGCCAUUACACAGGGUCUCCCAAUCCCGCUGGGGCCCACGCAUCCGGGUCCAACAACCCCGGAUCCCCUGGAGGAGAUACACCCGACCACGGCGGAGCUGCUGACGGCUACGCUUCUGAGGAUUUCGUUCCUGGUUCUUCUU
rnacentral:misc_RNA from 1 species